rnacentral:misc_RNA from 1 species
UGGUUCUGGCAUCGAUGAAGAACGCAGCGAAAUGCGAUACGUAAUGUGAAUUGCAGAAUUCAGUGAAUCAUCGAAUCUUUGAACGCACAUUGCGCCUAUUAGUAUUCUAGUAGGCAUGCCUGUUCGAGCGUCAUUUCAACCCUCAGGCCCUCGUGGCCUGGCGUUGGGGCCUGCCGUAAAACGCAGCCCUGAAAGAUAGCUGGCGGAGUCGGGAUGCACUCCAAGCGUAGUAUACUUUUACGAGUCUCGCUUCUGCGUCGCCCCGCGCCCCUGCCACUAAACCCCCCAAAUUUCUAUGGUUGACCUCGGAUCAGGUAGGAAUGCCCGCUGA